GGUGUGGUGGCUCAGCGGUAGAGCGCUCACCUUGCAUGUGCAAGACUCUGGGUUCGAUCCUCAGCCCCACAU
rfam:Ictidomys tridecemlineatus contig014387, whole genome shotgun sequence.